rnacentral:rRNA from 1 species
UGUGUAGGCGGUUGUUUAAGUUUGGUGUGAAAUCUCCCGGCUCAACUGGGAGGGUGCGCCGAAUACUGAAUGACUAGAGUACGGGAGAGGAAAGUGGAAUUCCUGGUGUAGCGGUGAAAUGCGUAGAUAUCAGGAGGAACACCGGUGGUGUAGACGGCUUUCUGGACCGUAACUGACGCUGAGACACGAAAGCGUGGGUAGCAAACAGGAUUAGAUACCCUGGUAGUCCACGCCCUAAACGAUGCAUAUUUGGUGUGGGCAGUUCAUUCUGUCCGUGCCGGAGCUAACGCGUUAAAUAUGCCGCCUGGGGAGUACAGUCGCAAGGCUGAA